CAUCUGCAAACAUAAGCACAACUAAGCCAUGGUUCAUUUCGACAUACUUACCGAUUUCCAUACGUGGCGUUUUGAUUGGAAAGUCUUCGUUAAGGUCUUAAGGAAAUGGAACAAGAGGGAAGCCAACGUCUCCACUGUUGAACUGAUUGUCACCGAUGUUUUCGGCGACAAGAUGCAGGUCACAAUUAGUGAGAACCUUGUGGCCCAGUUCUGUGUACGUCGGAGGAUUGAGGAGGAUGAGUGGAAAACAUUCUCCAAUUUCGCGGUUGUAAACGACAAAUCCGCUGUCAAGGUCGUCGACACCAACUACCGGAUCAAAUUCACAGCUGACACCGUUGUUCAAAACAUUGAUGGCUUGUCGAACAACCACUUCAUCGAUUACCAUAACUUCGACAAUAUAUAUGGUGGAUGGUCUGCUUUCACCAAAAACUGCUGCUUAGGAAACGUUUCAGUUACAGAUGAUGUUAUACCUUUUUAAUAUAAUUCUUUUCAGUUUCAUCAUUCUAAUCACAUGACCUGCUAGAUACGAUGGGGGAAGUUACCAACGUCGAACCAAUCAUUUACGUUGAUGAUCCCACUGCUCCACGUUUUGCCGAGAAAUCGCGGAUGAAACGCUUUUCGUUAAGGAAUUAGGAGGGAGUCGUUUUUCCGAUAUUUAAAUUUAAUUAUUUAUUAAUAUGAAGGGGCCAAUACAUAUAUGUUUUCGGAUGUAGAGGUCAUCACUUGCCAUGUGUAGCUUAUAACGAGGCCGUUGAUUACUUUACCCAUAACUUUUGGGUGGGCGCAGCAGGCAAACCAGUUGUUGCGAUCUUAAGGUUUUGGAGGGCGAAGUUUAAGGAUGGAGGCGAAGGAGGAAUGGAGUUGGUCAGUCAACCGGGUGUUUCAAAAGUGUUGUUUUUGUUUGAUCCGUUGUUUCCAGAGGUGCAAGAUUUCAAACUCAGGUUGGAAUACCUCAACCAGCGUGAGAGGAUAGAAGAUGAUGCGUAGCUUAUCUUUGCAUUUCGGAGUGUUGUGUUCAUUUAUAAUACUUAAACCACCAUCCUAUUCUGUAUUUCUUACUUCUCAAUUUCUGGACUCUCUUUCUAUUGAUGUUACUCUAUUAAGUCCUUUAAUGAUAGUGAUA